rnacentral:rRNA from 1 species
GACGGGGGGGGCAAGUGUUGCUCGGAAUCACUGGGCGUAAAGCGCACGUAGGCGGCUCUUUAAGUCAGGGGUGAAAUCCUGGAGCUCAACUCCAGAACUGCCUUUGAUACUGAGGGGCUUGAGUCCGGGAGAGGUGAGUGGAACUGCGAGUGUAGAGGUGAAAUUCGUAGAUAUUCGCAAGAACACCAGUGGCGAAGGCGGCUCACUGGCCCGGUACUGACGCUGAGGUGCGAAAGCGUGGGGAGCAAACAGG